UAAAUAAAUUAUCUAGAUUUUCUGGAUUUUUAUUUACACAGGAAACUAUUUCUGAAAAUAAUCUUAUCCUAUCUUUUUUUUGGGCCGAGCCCGUGGACUCGACCCGCUCUGGCCCAGCGACCGGCCCUCCUAGGCCCAUCUAGGCUGACACCGCCGCUCCCCGGGCCUAGCUCGGCCAUGGCCGCCGCCGGCCCCUUCCUCGGCGUGCGCGCCACCCUAGGGCUCCGCGCAGCCAUGUAAAGGGCGAGCGCCCGAGCCCUUGCGCCUGCCGUCCUCGCCCGCCGCCGCCUCACCGCCUAGCCGCCUCUAGCGCCGCGCCAUGCGCCGCCGCCCGAAGCAGAGCAACGGCGCCGGCCAGCUGAUUCGUCACGACAGCCGCCCGUCGGAGCAAGAGGAGGACGCUACGAGCUUCGCGACGCCCGGACGUGCACCCGACGCUGUUCGGCAUCCCUGCUUCGCCGCCGGAGGAGCCCCACCGCUUGGAGCCCGAGCCGCCGCCGCCGGUCAACGCCCGCCUACAAUUUCCGGCCGGCUCCAUGAGCCUUCAACCCCGAAGGAUCGUUGCUCGAAAGAUUUGAAUAUUAAGAGUUUCAAGAGAGCAAGAGUUGAAGAGUAGUAAGAGUAAAUUUUCAUUGCAGAAAGGCGUCUUCUUCCUUUUGCCCGAGCUAUUUCCUCCAGCUCGGGCUUCAUCCAUUCAUGGCGAAAUAGGGGAGGUGCUGCCGGAUUUUUGACCAUUUUACAGGGAUUUCGCUCGUUCAAGUAUUCUAAAGGGAAAAAGUAUAAUUUGUUCAUAGUUUAAAUUUGCAAAUAUGAG